GCAUGAGGUUGAAGAGGAGGAAGAGGAUUAUCGUAUUGGCAAAGAGAAAUAUGAUGAAGAUUAUGAUGACGAAUAAGAACAGGGGAAGGAGGAGGAAAGAUAGGAGCUUUGAAAGAGGAAGCGAAAGGAAUAGGAGGAGAAGAAGAGGAGGAAGGAGGAAGAAAGAAAAAGGAGGAGGAGGAGGAGGAGGAGAAGAAGAAGUAGAUGGAGGAGGUAGAAAGGGAAAAGGAGGU
rnacentral:lncRNA from 1 species